GAAGAUGCAGUGUACCCGCGGCAAGACGGAAAGACCCCGUGAACCUUUACUAUAGCUUGACACUGAACAUUGAGCCUUGAUGUGUAGGAUAGGUGGGAGGCUUAGAAGUGUGGACGCCAGUCUGCAUGGAGCCGACCUUGAAAUACCACCCUUUAAUGUUUGAUGUUCUAACGUUGACCCGUAAUCCGGGUUGCGGACAGUGUCUGGUGGGUAGUUUGACUGGGGCGGUCUCCUCCUAAAGAGUAACGGAGGAGCACGAAGGUUGGCUAAUCCUGGUCGGACAUCAGGAGGUUAGUGCAAUGGCAUAAGCCAGCUUGACUGCGAGCGUGACGGCGCGAGCAGGUGCGAAAGCAGGUCAUAGUGAUCCGGUGGUUCUGAAUGGAAGGGCCAUCGCUCAACGGAUAAAAGGUACUCCGGGGAUAACAGGCUGAUACCGCCCAAGAGUUCAUAUCGACGGCGGUGUUUGGCACCUCGAUGUCGGCUCAUCACAUCCUGGGGCUGAAGUAGGUCCCAAGGGUAUGGCUGUUCGCCAUUUAAAGUGGUACGCGAGCUGGGUUUAGAACGUCGUGAGACAGUUCGGUCCCUAUCUGCCGUGGGCGCUGGAGAACUGAGGGGGGCUGCUCCUAGUACGAGAGGACCGGAGUGGACGCAUCACUGGUGUUCGGGUUGUCAUGCCAAUGGCACUGCCCGGUAGCUAAAUGCGGAAGAGAUAAGUGCUGAAAGCAUCUAAGCACGAAACUUGCCCCGAGAUGAGUUCUCCCUGACUCCUUGAGAGUCCUGAAGGAACGUUGAAGACGACGACGUUGAUAGGCCGGGUGUGUAAGCGCAGCGAUGCGUUGAGCUAACCGGUACUAAUGAACCGUGAGGCUUAACCUUACAACGCCGAAGGUGUUU
rnacentral:rRNA from 1 species